GACGUAGGGCGCGAGCGUUGUCCGGAUUUAUUGGGCGUAAAGAGCUCGUAGGCGGCUUGUCGCGUCGUUCGUGAAAACCUGCAGCUCAACUGCAGGCUUGCGGUCGAUACGGGCAGGCUGGAGUUCGGUAGGGGAGACUGGAAUUUACGGUGUAGCGGUGAAAUGCGUAGAUAUCGUAAGGAAGACCAGUGGCGAAGGCGGGUCUCUGGACAGUUCCUGACGCUGAGGCACGAAGGCUAGGGGAGCAAACGGG
rnacentral:rRNA from 1 species